AAAGCGUGCGCAGGCGGUUAUGUAAGACAGUUGUGAAAUCCCCGGGCUCAACCUGGGAACUGCAUCUGUGACUGCAUAGCUAGAGUACGGUAGAGGGGGAUGGAAUUCCGCGUGUAGCAGUGAAAUGCGUAGAUAUGCGGAGGAACACCGAUGGCGAAGGCAAUCCCCUGGACCUGUACUGACGCUCAUGCACGAAAGCGUGGGGAGCAAACAGGAUUAGAUACCCCUGU
rnacentral:rRNA from 1 species